rnacentral:rRNA from 1 species
GCGAACGCUGGCGGCAGGCCUAACACAUGCAAGUCGAACGAACCUUUCGGGGUUAGUGGCGGACGGGUGAGUAACACGUGGGAACGUGCCUUUAGGUUCGGAAUAACUCAGGGAAACUUGUGCUAAUACCGAAUGUGCCCUUCGGGGGAAAGAUUUAUCGCCUUUAGAGCGGCCCGCGUCUGAUUAGCUAGUUGGUUGAGGUAAUGGCCCACCAAGGCGACGAUCAGUAGCUGGUCUGAGAGGAUGAUCAGCCACAUUGGGACUGAGACACGGCACAAACUCCUACGGGAGGCAGCAGUGGGGAAUCUUGCGCAAUGGGCGAAAGCCUGACGCAGCCAUGCCGCGUGAAUGAUGAAGGUCUUAGGAAUGUAAAAUUCUUUAACCGGGGACGAUAAUGACGGUACCCGGAGAAGAAGCCCCGGCUAACUUCGUG